rnacentral:rRNA from 1 species
GAGUUUGAUCCUGGCUCAGAAUGAACGUUGGCGGCGUGGAUUAGGCAUGCAAGUCGUACGCACAGCUUCGGCUGUGAGUGGCGCAAGGGUGAGUAAUGCGAAGGUAACCAACCUGGAGUUGGGCAUAACCGCGGGAAACUGCGGGUAAUUCCCAGCGAUGUCGCGAGAUGGCAUCAUCUUGCGACCAAAGGUGUGAUUCCGCUCUAGGACGGGCCUUCGUGGUAUUAGGUAGUUGGUGAGGUAACGGCUCACCAAGCCGACGAUGCCUACCGGGUGUGAGAGCAUGACCCGGCACACUGGAACUGAGACACUGUCCAGACACCUACGGGUGGCUGCAGUCGAGAAUCUUCGGCAAUGGGCGAAAGCCUGACCGAGCGACGCCGCGUGAGGGAAGAAGGCCUUCGGGUUGUAAACCUCUUUCGUAGAGGAGGAAGGGGCCGUGCAGAGCGGUCUUUGACCUAUUCUAGGAAGAAGCUUGGGCUAAGUUCGUG